rnacentral:rRNA from 1 species
AUUGAACGCUGGCGGCAGGCCUAACACAUGCAAGUCGAGCGAGCGGCGGACGGGUGAGUAAUGUAUGGGGACUGCCCGAUAGAGGGGGAUAACUACUGGAAACGGUAGCUAAUACCGCAUACUAUCGGAUAACCCAUAUGGGAUUAGCUAGUGGAGGAGGUAAUGGCUCACCUAGGCGACGAUCCCAAGCUUGUCUGAGAGGAUGAUCAGCUACACUGGAUCUGGGACACGGCCCAAACUCCUACGGAGGCAGCAGUGGGGAUAAUUGCACAAUGGGGGAAAGCCGGUGGCAGCCAUGCCGCGUGUAUGAAGAAGGCCCUAGGGUUGUAAAGUACUUUCAGUCGGGAGACGUUACCGACAGAAGAAGCACCGGCUAACUCCGUGCCAGCAGCCGCGGUAAUAC